rnacentral:rRNA from 1 species
UUUUGCAUAAUGAGCCUACGAGUUGUUGUUGUUGGCAAGGUUAAUCUGCUGUAGCAGAGCAACCGGAGCGAAAGCGAGUCUUAACAGGGCGCUUAGUCAGCAGUAGCAGACGCGAAACUUGGUGAUCUACCCAUGACCAGGAUGAAGUCUAGGUAACACUAGAUGGAGGUCCGAACCAGUUGACGUUGAAAAGUCUUUGGAUGAGUUGUGGGUAGGGGUGAAAGGCCAAUCAAACUGAGAAAUAGCUCGUACUCCCCGAAAUGCUUUUAGGAGCAGCGUGUGGGUGAGUUUAUUAGAGGUAGAGCUACCGAUUGGACUAGGGGGAGUCAAAUCCUACCAAAUCCAGACGAACUCCGAAUGCUAAUAAAUAUACCACGCAGUGAGGGCUUGGGUGCUAAGGUCCGAGUCCGAGAGGGAAAGAACCCAGACCUACAGCUAAGGUCCCAAAAUCUAUGCUAAGUUGAACUAAGGGGGUCCAGUUGCUUAGACAGCCAGGAUGUUGGCUUGGAAGCAGC